UGUGGGAGCGAGCCUGCUCGCGAUGACGUCGGUACAUUCGAUGCAUUUGCGUCGACAGGAACAUCGCUAUCGCGAGCAGGCUCGCUCCCACA
rnacentral:antisense_RNA from 1 species